UGACUCGUAAGCAUCUUCCCAAACCGGUGGCAAACCACCGCAAACAAAAACCGCCCGUGCAAUCAAAAUUUCCUUUUUAGCGUGCUUCUCACGCGCAUAAGCCCUAGAUACUGUAGAUUUUUUAUCAAUUAGAUCGAAAUUGGGCAUAAUCUUUUUUCAGCAAAGCAUAAAAAAUGGUGAAAGUGGUAAGGAGAUGCAUAUAAUCAAUAUUGAAGCUGGUGGAUUCAGUUAUAGGAAAGGUUGGUAUGGCUAUGAUUCUGUACGCAAUUUGGUUAAUUAGGGCUUGGCAAAGAGAAAUUGGGGAUUGGCCUUUUGAAGGCUCUGAUUAUGCAGCUCCAUGGUAUGUUUCUCUUUCUUGGGGUUAAUGGGGAAGCCUGGGAUUUUGGAAAGGCAAAAUUUUGGGUUUUCCUAAGGAAUGUGUUUUGUAUUUGACUUGAUGAAUGUUUGGUUGUUUGCUUUGUUUUUGAAUUAUUACUUGUUUCCAUUUUCUGUUUGGUUGAUGGGAAAAUGAAUGUAAGUAAAAAAUAUAAACAGAAACUUUUAGUUAUUCAGUUAGUUUUCUUUUAAUUCUCUCUUGUUUUGGACAGACCACAAUUGGAUUUUACUGCUAAAAAGAAACUACAUUCGUUUGGGUGAAUUGCAGGAAUUUCCAGUGGAUCCAAGUGGGGGUUUUAACAGGUUUAAAGAUUUCGUCAGGUCAAACUUUGAAUUUUGCAAGUGGAUAGGCUUGUCUAUCAUGUCUGUACAGGAUGAAAAGGUUCUACAGCAGAUAUAUGUUCUACCGGGAUGGAAAGGUUCUACAGCAGAUGGCAGAGUGUUAAAGGAUACCAUUACAUGUAGGAAUGGAUUGAAGAUCCCACAAAGUAUUAUUUUUAUUAUGUUCGUGUAAUGUUAAUAACGAAACACCUUAUUUUCAUAUUAUUAAUGUUGUUAAGCGUUCUAAUAGGUAAUUACUAUUUGUGUGAUACCAGAUACACAAAUGAGGAAAGAUUUUUGACACUUUAUAGAGGUCAACGAUACUAUCUUAGUGACUGGAGGGCAAGAUUCCAAUCGUCGAAUCCACAUAAUAUUUCAAUAUGAAACAUUCUCAAACAAGAAAUUGUAUCGAGAGAUGUUUUGAUUUAUUGAAAGUUGGAUGGGCAAUUUUAAAAGAAAAGUCAUUUUAUUCAAUUAAGACACAGUGUAAAAUAAUUUUUGCUUGUUGCCUUCUUUAUAAUUUUAUUAACUUUGAGAUGAUUUUUGACCCUAUUGAAGGGCAUAUUGCUGAAUGAAGUAUUUUCUAACUAGAUGAAUCUGAACAUCAAGAUUUGAUUAUGCAUGUUGAGCAUCUGAUUGUUGGACUCAGUUUAGAGAUAAUCUAGCUAAUAAGAUAUUCAUCCAUUGGUUACAAUCCUAAGGAUAAUAACAUUAUAGAUAUGUUUUGUAUUCUAUUAUUUGUUUCCCUCAUGAUUUUUAUUGUAUGUAUCAUAUGGUUGAGUGUAGAAUUUGCUUUAUAUCAAUGUUGAAUAUAUGUUUACAAUAAGGCAUUCUUGAGUGUCUAAUAAUA